rnacentral:antisense_RNA from 1 species
CUUCAACGACCCCAGCCACAGCGGCCGGUCCUUCGACCGGUCCUGCCCGUACGUCGCCAGUACCGCUUGCGCCUC